AACGAACGCUGGCGGCAUGCCUAACACAUGGAAGUCGAACAAUCCCUUCGGGGAUAGUGGCGCACGGGUGCGUAACGCGUGGGAAUCUGCCCUUGGGUUCGGAAUAACAGUUAGAAAUGACUGCUAAUACCGGAUGAAGUCUUCGGACCAAAGAUUUAUCGCCCAGGGAUGAGCCCGCGUAGGAUUAGGUAGUUGGUGAGGUAAAGGCUCACCAAGCCGACGAUCCUUAGCUGGUCUGAGAGGAUGAUCAGCCACACUGGGACUGAGACACGGCCCAGACUCCUACGGGAGGCAGCAGUGGGGAAUAUUGGACAAUGGGCGCAAGCCUGAUCCAGCAAUGCCGCGUGAGUGAUGAAGGCCUUCGGGUCGUAAAGCUCUUUUACCCGGGAUGAUAAUGACAGUACCGGGAGAAUAAGCUCCGGCUAACUCCGUGCCAGCCGCCGCGGUAACAC
rnacentral:rRNA from 1 species